UAGGGAAUCUUCGGCAAUGGAAGAAAGUCUGACCGAGCAACGCCGCGUGAGUGAAGAAGGUUUUCGGAUCGUAAAACUCUGUUGUUAGAGAAGAACAAGGACGUUAGUAACUGAACGUCCCCUGACGGUAUCUAACCAGAAAGCCACGGCUAACUACGUGCCAGCAGCCGCGGUAAUACGUAGGUGGCAAGCGUUGUCCGGAUUUAUUGGGCGUAAAGCGAGCGCAGGCGGUUUCUUAAGUCUGAUGUGAAAGCCCCCGGCUCAACCGGGGAGGGUCAUUGGAAACUGGGAGACUUGAGUGCAGAAGAGGAGAGUGGAAUUCCAUGUGUAGCGGUGAAAUGCGUAGAUAUAUGGAGGAACACCAGUGGCGAAGGCGGCUCUCUGGUCUGUAACUGACGCUGAGGCUCGAAAGCGUGGGGAGCAAACAGG
rnacentral:rRNA from 1 species